GAUGAACGCUGGCGGCGUGCCUAAUACAUGCAAGUCGAGCGAACAGACGAGGAGCUUGCUCCUCUGACGUUAGCGGCGGACGGGUGAGUAACACGUGGAUAACCUACCUAUAAGACUGGGAUAACUUCGGGAAACCGGAGCUAAUACCGGAUAAUAUAUUGAACCGCAUGGUUCAAUAGUGAAAGACGGUUUUGCUGUCACUUAUAGAUGGAUCCGCGCCGCAUUAGCUAGUUGGUAAGGUAACGGCUUACCAAGGCGACGAUGCGUAGCCGACCUGAGAGGGUGAUCGGCCACACUGGAACUGAGACACGGUCCAGACUCCUACGGGAGGCAGCAGUAGGGAAUCUUCCGCAAUGGGCGAAAGCCUGACGGAGCAACGCCGCGUGAGUGAUGAAGGUCUUCGGAUCGUAAAACUCUGUUAUUAGGGAAGAACAAAUGUGUAAGUAACUAUGCACGUCUUGACGGUACCUAAUCAGAAAGCCACGGCUAACUAAGUG
rnacentral:rRNA from 1 species